rnacentral:rRNA from 1 species
UACGUAGGGUCCGAGCGUUGUCCGGAGUUACUGGGCGUAAAGCGCGCGCAGGCGGCGGUGCUGGCCCGGCGUGAAAGCCCCCGGCUCAACCGGGGAGGGUCGUCGGGGACCGCACCGCUUGAGGGCGGUAGGGGCUGGUGGAAUGCCUGGUGUAGUGGUGAAAUGCGUAGAGAUCAGGCGGAACACCCGUGGCGAAGGCGGCAUCCUGGACCGGUAUUGACGCUGAGGCGCGAAAGCUAGGGUAGCAAACGGG